rfam:Fomitiporia mediterranea MF3/22 unplaced genomic scaffold FOMMEscaffold_18, whole genome shotgun sequence.
AGCGGCGUGGCGCAGCGGCCAAGCGCGCAAGGCUCAUAACCUUGAGGUCCCUGGAUCGAAACCAGGCGCCGCUA